CCUUGGGCUAGUCACACUUCUUUGAAGUCUCUCAGCCCCACUCACCUCACAGAGUGUUUGUUGUGGGGGAGGAAGGGAAAGGAGAAUGUUAGCCGCUUUGAGACUCCUUAAAGGGAGUGAAAGGCGGGAUAUAAAAUCCAAACCCUUCUUCUUCUUCUCUAGUUAAGUUUGCCAAAGGCUAGUCAGUGUUUUGGGGUCUUUAGAAUUCGGUGUGAGAGAAAAAAUAUCGCUGGGGUGAUUUGGAGCUAAGAAAUGGCAGCCAGAGGAGAUACUGGGUUUUGCCUCUGAUGUGUAGCAUCAUCACCUAACCAUAGUUUCCAAGUCUACUGGUGAAUUGCAUAUCCCCAUCAUAACUCCUCACUUUUUCCAGAACCUACUCCCUUCCAGGACUAGAGUUCAUACAUUAAAUUCAGUGAGAAGCUCCUCCCUAAUGCAAGAAAGCUUCCCUCACCCCCCUUCCUUUACGUCUUCUGACAUCCUGACAGUGCGAUUCAAUACAUGUUCAUUUACAAAUACCGG